CACAGAAUGAUUACUGAAUGCCGUACGAGCAUCGCACGAAUAAGUGCGCACACACACACACACAGUCGUACUUAAAUGCACGCGGAGAGACGCCAAAUGACAACAAAAUGGAGCUGAUUAAACGAAUGCAACAACUACAGCGGCAGCAGCAGCAGCAGCA